rnacentral:rRNA from 1 species
AUUGAACGCUGGCGGCAGGCUUAACACAUGCAAGUCGAGCGGGGAAGAGUAGCUUGCUACUUAACCUAGCGGCGGACGGGUGAGUAAUGCUUAGGAAUCUGCCUAUUAGUGGGGGACAACAUCCCGAAAGGGAUGCUAAUACCGCAUACGUCCUACGGGAGAAAGCAGGGGACCUUCGGGCCUUGCGCUAAUAGAUGAGCCUAAGUCGGAUUAGCUAGUGGGUGGGGUAAAGGCCUACCAAGGCGACGAUCUGUAGCGGGUCUGAGAGGAUGAUCCGCCACACUGGGACUGAGACACGGCCCAGACUCCUACGGGAGGCAGCAGUGGGGAAUAUUGGACAAUGGGGGGAACCCUGAUCCAGCCAUGCCGCGUGUGUGAAGAAGGCCUUUUGGUUGUAAAGCACUUUAAGCGAGGAGGAGGCUACCGAGAUUAAUACUCUUGGAUAGUGGACGUUACUCGCAGAAUAAGCACCGGCUAACUCUGUGCCAGCCGCCGCGGUAA